AAGGAACGCACAUAAUUGACUCCGGCAGCCAGGAUGAGCCUGCUAGUCUGCUGGCAUGAGAAAUCCAGAGUGACAGAGCAGCAGCCAUACUGCAACGUUAAACGGGAAUAUUGCUGCGCCCCAUUGUAGAUGCAUUUCCUUUCUGAGAACCGUGAUCUCUGGACCCACAGAAUUUAAUCUGCAAGGACAAGUUUCCCAAGAAUGGAUCACUGACACCACGUGGGAGACAGCGGGAACUGAGUGCUAUGUUUGGGACCGUUCUCCAGCCUCCCAGAAAUGUAAAGUUGGAUUUUCUAAUAACUUCUAAUCAUGGAAAUCACAUACCCACUAUGUGCUAGACACUAUUGUAGGUACUGGAGAAUGAGAAUAAGCAGCCCUGCCCUCAAGGAGCCUUUUUUCUGGUGUUAGCACAGUGCAUAAGGUGGCGCCUUAAAGACCGACCCAUGACAUGGCGUGGUUGUCCUGAUGACUUGCCUAUUUUACGUCUGACCCAUGCUAGUUUGAAUUCGUAGCUGCUGGGUUGGAGGGGAGACCCUCAAGGCUCCUCUCCGUCCUUUGCUAUUCCGGAGCCCUCUCUACUCAGGACUUGUGAGCACCCGCUCUCAAGAAGAGUAAGCAGUUACGGGCUGCGUUAGAUUCUAGGAAUUCAGAGGUAAAACACUGUCCUCUGCCUUUCAGGAAGUUUACACACAAGUUCUAACUGGAACGACGCUGUCCUUUUCUGACCAGCAUCCUCGUACAGCUCUGCAGCAGUUACAGGGGAGGUUCUGCAGAGACACAGCACAAGGCAGAGAGGUUCAAGGGCCUCCUGCCACUUUUCCCUGGUGUGGGGUUUCAUAGCCAUCCUCAGAGGCGGGGGCGGGUGGCAGUCACUGCUCUGCAGGUAACUCUUCCUCAGUUCUUCAGAAACGGAACCUGUUAAGCAUGUGGCAUACCAGGGACAGCUCCCCAUACAGGGCCAAUCGUUCAUUUGUUAGUAAGCAGAAACGACCCUUUCUUUAAGUGUUGCUCACAUCGCCUCCAGGAGAAAUUGUGUGAUUGUGAACAUUCUAGUGGGCUCGUCGCCUUUAUUUGUGGCUCCUGGGUGACUUUGUCAGAUUGUAAUUGCGUUGCGCUUAACUUCCCUAUUGGUGAUCUGUGUGAAAGUGUGUUCUGACCUUGGGUUUUCUCCUCUCAGAUUUUAAAAAUAAAAACAGGCCAUGCUUUGUGCUUUUCAGAGGAGAAACUAUAAAAUACAUUU
rnacentral:lncRNA from 1 species